rnacentral:rRNA from 1 species
AUUGAACGCUGGCGGCAUGCUUUACACAUGCAAGUCGGACGGCAGCACAGAGAAGCUUGCUUCUUGGGUGGCGAGUGGCGAACGGGUGAGUAACAUAUCGGAACGUACCGGGCAGUGGGGGAUAACUAAUCGAAAGAUUAGCUAAUACCGCAUAUUUUCUGAGGAAGAAAGCAGGGGACCAUUUGGCCUUGCGCUGUUUGAGCGGCCGAUAUCUGAUUAGCUAGUUGGUGGGGUAAAGGCCUACCAAGGCGACGAUCAGUAGCGGGUCUGAGAGGAUGAUCCGCCACACUGGGACUGAGACACGGCCCAGACUCCUACGGGAGGCAGCAGUGGGGAAUUUUGGACAAUGGGCGCAAGCCUGAUCCAGCCAUGCCGCGUGUCUGAAGAAGGCCUUCGGGUUGUAAAGGACUUUUGUCAGGGAAGAAAAGGGCGGGGUUAAUACCCCUGUCUGA